CAGAGAACCGUUUUCUGUCUGUCUUUCUGUCUUGCCCUUUGGGUCGACCCUCUCAGAGUUUGGGUCGACUCAAGCUUGGGUCGACUCAAGCACUGUGUGGGUCGACCCUCUCAGUGAAUCCAGAGAGCAUUCUUCCUUUGCGUUUUGAGGUUCUUUGGAGGUUGGGUCGACUCAUGCUUACCUUAGGUCGACCCAACUCACUGUUCAUUUGUGCUGUUUUUGCAAGAGUGUGCCAGAUGAUUCCUAGAUGUGCCGGGGUCGACCCAAUCAACCUAUGGGUCGACUCAAUCCACACUUUGCUGCAUUCUCAAGGUUAGAUUCAUCCAAAUGAAUAAGACCAUAUAUAUAUAUAUAUUUUCAAUUAAACAAAUGUACUGAGAGUAAUGAACUUAUAAAUGAAGUAUCAAUUUAACUUAUAGCAUGCUCUAGAUAAUUACUUGUUAAUCAUCAAAAUAACACUAUCAUCCUCA
rnacentral:lncRNA from 1 species